UAUAUUAAGUAUCUCCUGCCCAAUGAAAUUUGAAGAGCCGCAGAAAAUUAACUGUGCUAAGGUAGCAUAAUCAUUAGCCCUUUAAUUAAGGGCUUGCAUGAAUGGAUAAACAUUUUAUAUCCUGUAACUAAUUUAAUUAUAUUGAAUUUUAAUUAAAUGUAAAAAUACAUUUAUGCUAAAAAAAGACGACAAGACCCUAUUGAACUUUACUUUAGUUUAGCUGGGGCAGCUAAAUAAAAAAAAUUUUUAAACAUUAUUAUUAUAUAAAAGAACCAAUAAAAUUGAGUUUAUGAAAAGUUACCAUAGGGAUAACAGCGUAAUUUAUUUUUUAAGCUCUUAUUACAAAAUAAGAUUGCGACCUCGAUGUUGAAUUAGUGUUCCUUUAUAGAUGCAAUAAUUUUUAAAGUAGGUCUGUUCGACCUUUAAAACAUUACA
rnacentral:rRNA from 1 species